AAGUCGUAACAAGGUUUCCGUAGGUGAACCUGCGGAAGGAUCAUUAACACUGUCAGCGAGUCAGUCGUGUCAUUAACACUGUCUGUCUGUCUCGUUUACUUCACCCAUACGUUGAUUCUGUUCGUACCUCCGCUCGCUAUGCCCUGUGAUGCGCUUGGUUUAUUCUCAUACCACAGGAACAUACAGGAGGCUUAUCCACUCUUCCGCUGCGCUUCGGCCCAGUGAUGACGAAGGAUACAUAUAUAUAUAUUUAUAUAUAUGUGUGUCUGGAGUCGUUUCGGGGGAGUGGCCCAUUUUUUCUCUUUUUCUAUCUUCACCGCAUACUUGCACUGAUUUCAUGUAUGCACACGAAAGUGUGUGUACAACGUGUCAUUGACCAUUCGUGUCAAUGAAACCCAUAUACAACUCUUAACAACGGAUAUCUCGGCUAAC
rnacentral:misc_RNA from 1 species